AUAGUAGUUCUCGAUCCCACGAUCUCGUAGCUUCGCGUAGAUCAUUAUUAUUCAGUUUGUUCUAUACCAUGUUUGUUUGUAUUGCUACGACUAGCAUGAGGUCACGAGGCUUUGAAAAAUCACCCUGGUAACUGGAAUCUCAAGUGCCAGGAGAAGAACAUGUGGUUCAAGUGGAGCCACAUAUCAAGGAGUUCGAUUUGAUCUAGGUGGCGUCUCCCAGUUGACUUUCUGACGCCAAGGAUGGAUUUUAGAUCCUGUUAUAUUUAUCUUUUAUUUUUGUAAGACUUCCGCUAUGUAAUAUGUACUCUGAUUAUAUUGUGACAUUUAUCUCUAUACACUCUGUUAUUAUAUAUGUUGUCUUCUUUGGCGCAUGUAUGAGAUGCACUCGGCUUUGUCCCUUAAAGCCCGGGGUGUGACAAUAUUCGAGGCAGAAUACGAUAAGGGAGCACCAG
rnacentral:lncRNA from 7 species